GCCUGGGUGGCUCAGUCGGUUGGGCGUCUGACUUCGGCUCAGGUCAUGAUCUCGCGGUCUGUGAGUUCGAGCCCCGCGUCGGGCU
rnacentral:tRNA from 1 species